AAGAGCAUUCUUGAGUCGAUCACUCGAGAGUCGUGUUAUCUAAACGAGCUCAAUCAAGUUCAACUGGAGUUGUGUGAAAAAUUAGAAGGAAAGAAGUUUUUGAUUGUUUUAGAUGAUGUCUUGAACAAAAAUUAUGAUGAUUGGAACACCCUGCGUUCUCCACUUAUGUAUGGAGCUCCAGGAAGGAGAGUCAUCGUGACAACACGUGAUGAAGAUAUUGCACGGAUGAUGAAAAUAAUUCAAUAUCACACUUUGAAUUGUAUUUCAGAUGAGGAUUGCUGGAAAUUGUUUCUUGACCAUGCUUUUGAUUGUGGAAGUGUUGCAGAUCCAAAAGUGGAAGUCAUCCGUGAAAAGGUCAUAAACAAGUGCGGAUACACCUCAAAUAUGUAUCAUGUCUCUUUCACGCAAUGGGCUCACCAUCAUGGCUGCACCAUCUAUUGUUUCAAACUUAUCAUGUAGGAAAGGGAUGGGGCAUCAGGAGUAUAUUGUUAUAGCAGGAAUGGUAUAUUCAAGGCAUACAUAUUCAUAUAAUAUAAGAAAGGAAAAAAAUAAAUAUGAAAUUUAUAUGAUUUGAUGGUAAGUUUUAUGUCUAUAGACAAUAUAAGAGAAA
rnacentral:misc_RNA from 1 species